GAUGAACGCUGGCGGCGUGCCUAAUACAUGCAAGUCGAGCGAACGGACGCGAAGCUUGCUUCUCUGAUGUUAGCCGCGGGCGGGAGUGUAACGCGUGUAUACUCCCCUUAUAUGACUGGUAUAACUUCGGGAAUCCGGAGCUAAUCCCGGAUAAUCUUUUGAACCACAUUGUUCAAAAGUGAAAGACGGUCUUGCUGUCACUUAUCGCUGGUUCCCCGCUGCAUUAGGUAGUUGUUUAGGUAACGGCUUACCAAGGCAACGAUGCAUAGCCGGCCUGAGAGGGUGAUAGGCGACACUGGAAGUGAGACACGGUCCAGACGACUACGGGAGGCAGCAGUAGGGAAUCUUCCGCAAUGGGCGAAAGCCUGACGGAGCAACGCCGCGUGAGUGAUGGAGGUCUUCGGAUCGUAAUACUCUGUUAUUAGGGAUGAACAUAUGUGUAAGUAACUGUGCACAUCUUGACGGUACCUAAUCAGAAAGCCACGGCUAACUACGUG
rnacentral:rRNA from 1 species